rnacentral:rRNA from 1 species
UACGAAGGGUGCAAGCGUUACUCGGAAUUACUGGGCGUAAAGGGCUCGUAGGUGGCCAACUAAGUCAGACGUGAAAUCCCUCGGCUUAACCGGGGAACUGCGUCUGAUACUGGAUGGCUUGAGUUCGGGAGAGGGAUGCGGAAUUCCAGGUGUAGCGGUGAAAUGCGUAGAUAUCUGGAGGAACACCGAUGGCGAAGGCAGUUCUCUGGGCAGUAACUGACGCUGAGGAGCGAAAGCGUGGGGAGCGAACAGG